rnacentral:rRNA from 1 species
AGUGGCGCACGGGUGCGUAACGCGUAUACACCUACCUUAUACAGGGGUAUAGCCCAGGGAAACUUGGAUUAACACCCCAUAGUUUGGCAUCAUUAAAACUACGGUGGUAUAAGAUGGGUAUGCGUCCCAUUAGCUUGUUGGUGUGGUAACGGCACACCAAGGCAACGAUGGGUAGGGGCCCUGAGAGGGGGAUCCCCCACACUGGUACUGAGACACGGACCAGACUCCUACGGGAGGCAGCAGUGAGGAAUAUUGGACAAUGGGCGGGAGCCUGAUCCAGCCAUGCCGCGUGCAGGAAGACUGCCUAUGGGUUGUAAACUGCUUUUAUACGGGAAGAAACCCACCUACGUGUAGGUGGCUGACGGUACCGUAAGAAUAAGGACCGGCUAACUCCGUGCCAGCAGCCGCGGUAAUACGGAGGGUCCGAGCGUUAUCCGGAAUCAUUGGGUUUAAAGGGUCCGCAGGCGGCCAGAUAAGUCAGUGGUGAAAUUCCGUGGCUCAACCACGGAACUGCCAUUGAUACUGUUUGGCUUGAAUCAGUUCGAGGGAUGCGGAAUGUGUGGUGUAGCGGUGAAAUGCAUAGAUAUCACACAGAACACCAUUUGCGAGCAGUGUCCAGAACUGUAUUGACGCUGAUGAACGAAAGCGUGGGAGCAAACAGGAUUAGGAACUC